UUUAACAACGCGCAACAAAAGCUGCAUUCAAUCGCUUCAAAUUCAAUCAGCACCAAAAUCGUUACCGCUUCCUGUGCCUCCCGGACCGACUGCGCAUGCGCUGCGCACAGCCCUAACCUCUUAAAGUGGCGUGACUUUGAGAAACGUUAUUCGCUUUUUAUCUUUUAUUGUCAGUAGUUAGUGGUUCUACGUAACGUUAGUGUCGCCUCUGUACACACACAGUCUAAGUUAUUUGCUGGAACUGACAAAAAAAUAUAAAAAUGGUUGAUGCAUUCCUUG